rnacentral:lncRNA from 10 species
GAUAAGAAGGAGAUUACUGCUGCCCACGGGGAAAAAGGAGAACAGAAAUGGGAAAGCCGUAUUGAGAGGAUGUUUGAGAACUGUGAAAGACAGAAAGCAGACCAGAUUGCCAUGCCUAAACCACUUUCUUUGAAGUUUAUGGAAGCACCACUGCAUUUAUGCCAGAAGGUGAAAGUCCAGAACAGGCAUGAAUUCUACUCAAGUGGCCUGCCCCUCAGCAGAAGUUGGACAGGUGCUUAUGUUGCAAUUAACAAAAAGGAUACAUGCUGGGUCCUGCAGUAAAUGUCUCCCUUGGAUCAUGAAGUCUUUUUACCAUGUUACUGGAACACAGAAGGGUACUAUUGAGAACCAACUAACUUGGAGCCGUGUAUGAGCCACUGGGAAUAGACUAAAUGAGAUAAUCAACGUCUUGAUCUCAUAUUCUUUCAUUCUACAGAAGGAAGCAGGCAACAGGUUGCAAUACGAAGUGGAGUUAAAGCAACUAGAAGGAAGUGUCAGUAACCAAGCUGAGAGAGGCUGGAAGGAAAACAAUUCAUGCAGCAGAAAAGAAAGCCUUUUGAGCACUGUGAUGUCAGAAGGUGACUUGGAAGAUGAUCUAAAUGUUAAACUGGCAGUGAAGAUGCGCAGAGGUUGUAGUUCUGCUCCCCUCCCCGUCAG